UCCUCGUUAGUAUAGUGGCAAGUAUCUCCGCCUGUCACGCGGAAGACCGGGGUUCGAGCCCCCCGACGAGGAG
rnacentral:tRNA from 1 species